CGACAUUUCAAUAUUCGAUAAUAACUACACUAUGCUAAACGUAAGUCGUAAGUAAACAUUACGUAUAACUGAAAUUGAUUAGCCAUUAACAGGAACAUCAGAAACAGAAGAAUAAGAAACUAUUGAAUUAUUGACCGUAAUGUCCAAAAAAUUUGUAUUGUUUAAUAUUUAUUAUUUAUGUUAUUAAUUCGAAUAUAUUAUAAAAAAAAAUAGUUUACGAGUGAGUCAAAUUUAAAAAAAAGUAUAAAAUGGUAAAGCGCAAGAGCGAAGUAGCUCUGGCUGACACCGAACAGAAUAAAUCAGUCAGAGAAAAGUAUUUGAAGACCGAUAAGUCCAAUGUCCGCACAUCGAGUCUUUAUAUGCCUAUUAUGGCAUUGGAAGGUCACGAUGGUGAUAUAUUUGCCACAAAAUUUCAUCCCGAAGGGGAUUACCUGGCGUCUUCGGGUUAUGACAGAAAAAUUUUCAUAUGGAGUGUGUAUGGCGAAUGUGAAAACUUGGGAGUCCUCACUGGCCAUUCCGGAGCUGUUUUAGAUAUGAAAUUCUCCACUGACGGAACAUUAAUAUACACAAGUAGUACUGAUAUGACUGUUUCUUUUUGGGAUAUUUACAAGGGUCAAAGAGUCAAGAAACUUAAAGGACAUACUGGGUUUGUUAAUUCCUGUGACUCUGCAAGACGUGGACCUCAGAUGAUCACAAGUGCUUCAGAUGAUUGCACCAUAAAAGUAUGGGAUCCUAGAAAACGGGGAGGCGAUGCAGUAACUACAUUUAAUAAUAAUUAUCAAGUGAUGUCUGUAUGCUUUAAUGAUACAGCUGAUCAAGUUAUAACUGGUGGUCUAGAUAACGAAAUAAAAAUUUGGGAUUUACGUAAAAAUGCGUUACUUCAUCGUUUACCUGGCCAUACGGAUACAGUAACUGGACUUGAAUUGUCACCUGAUGGCUGUUAUUUACUAUCUAAUGCAAUGGAUAAUAGUUUGAGAAUAUGGGAUGUGAGACCUUAUGCACCUUCUGAUAGAUGUUUGAAAGUUUUCUCAGGGCAUACUCAUAAUUUUGAAAAGAACUUAUUGCGGUGUGCAUGGUCACCUGACGGUUCAAAAGUGUCAGCGGGCUCAGCUGAUAGAUAUGUGUAUAUUUGGGAUGCAAAUACUCGUAGAAUAUUGUAUAAGUUGCCAGGUCAUAAUGGAAGUGUAAACGAUGUAGAUUUCCAUCCAAAAGAACCAAUAAUUAUGUCUGGAUCCAGUGACAAAGUUGUAUAUCUUGGCGAGUUUGAUUGAAUCCAUUUGAAACUGAACUGACCCUAUUGUAAUUUUAAAUUUAUAUUAAGUUGUAUGCAGAGUACUGUGUCAUCAUUCUUAAUCAUUGUGAACAAUAGCAUCCUUCUUUGGAGUUUUCUUUGAUCCAAGACAAAUAUUUGGCAACUCUUGUGUAUACUCCAGGAAAUCCAGGACGGGCACAUCCGUGACCCCAGCUUACAAUUCCUAAAUGUAACAGAUAUCAUAUCAUUAUACAAUCAUUAUAUACUUUAUGUCGUUUAUACAGCA